AUUGAACGCUGGCGGCAGGCCUAACACAUGCAAGUCGAACGGUAACAGGAAGCAGCUUGCUGCUUUGCUGACGAGUGGCGGGCGGGUGAGUAAUGUCUGGGAAACUGCCUGAUGGAGGGGGAUAACUACUGGAAACGGUAGCUAAUACCGCAUAACGUCGCAAGACCAAAGAGGGGGACCUUCGGGCCUCUUGCCAUCGGAUGUGCCCAGAUGGGAUUAGCUUGUUGGUGGGGUAACGGCUCACCAAGGCGACGAUCCCUAGCUGGUCUGAGAGGAUGACCAGCCACACUGGAACUGAGACACGGUCCAGACUCCUACGGGAGGCAGCAGUGGGGAAUAUUGCACAAUGGGCGCAAGCCUGAUGCAGCCAUGCCGCGUGUAUGAAGAAGGCCUUCGGGUUGUAAAGUACUUUCAGCGGGGAGGAAGGGAGUAAAGUUAAUACCUUUACUCAUUGACGUUACCCGCAGAAGAAGCACCGGCUAACUCCGUG
rnacentral:rRNA from 1 species